GCUGUACAAUGGGUGGACUAACAGACAUGUAUUUGUAACCAGACAAGUUGGACGCACAGGAACAGAGGGAUUGAGGGUCCUGCUCAGUGAGUUUACAUGUUAGAGGGAGUGGGGUAUAGUGACACAGUAACAGAGGGAUUGAGGGCCUGCUCAGUGAGUUUACAUGUUAGAGGGAGUGGGGUAUAGUGACACAGUAACAGAGGGAUUGAGGGCCUGCUCAGUGAGUUUACAUGUUAGAGGGAGUGGGGUAUAGUGACACAGUAACAGAGGGAUUGAGGGCCUGCUCAGUGAGUUUACAUGUUAGAGGGAGUGGGGUAUAGUGACACAGUAACAGAGGGAUUGAGGGCCCUGCUCAGUGAGUUUACAUGUUAGAGGGAGUGGGGUAUAGUGACACAGUAACAGAGGGAUUGAGGGCCCUGCUCAGUGAGUUUACAUGUUAGAGGGAGUGGGGUAUAGUGACACAGUAACAGAGGGAUUGAGGGCCUGCUCAGUGAGUUUACAUGUUAGAGGGAGUGGGGUAUAGUGACACAGUAACAGAGGGAUUGAGGGGCCUGCUCAGUGAGUUUACAUGUUAGAGGGAGUGGGGUAUAGUGACACAGUAACAGAGGGAUUGAGGGCCUGCUCAGUGAGUUUACAUGUUAGAGGGAGUGGGGUAUAGUGACACAGUAACAGAGGGAUUGAGGGCCCUGCUCAGUGAGUUUACAUGUUAGAGGGAGUGGGGUAUAGUGACAGUAACAGAGGGAUUGAGGGCC